AUGGCCGUGUUGUUGAGGAAUGGAAAAUGGGAAGUCUCAGUUUUUGAGGAGCAACAUACACACCCAAUGAUGAUUAGGGAAGAGUGGAUGAGGUUCUACAGAUCUCAUAGGAAGGUGCCGUAUGAGGACUACAUGUUUCUCAAGACACUGCAUAAUCGGAACAUACCAACCGCAUUGAUCAUGUCUACACUUGGAGACUUGCAUGGGAAACUAGGCAACCUAUGAUACACUGACAGAGAUGUUGCAAACAUUCGAACUAAGAUGAGAAAUGAGGUGUCUUUAAAUGAUAUGGCAAAAACGAUGGAGUAUUUUGAGAAGCUUCAUGUAGAGAGUCCCCGGUUCUAUUAUGCGAAGCUGGAAGAUGAGAACAAAGCAGUGAGGGCACCUUUCUGGGUGGAUGGACGGACCCAGGAGGCAUACAAGAAAUUCAAAGACUACGUCUUCUUUGACACUACGUUCUGUACGAACAGGUACGAUAUGCCAUUUGCACCCAUCAUGGGGAUCAACAACCACAUGCAGACGGUGAUGUUAGGAUGUGCGUUGCUUCCGGAUGAAAAAAUAGAGACAUUCAAGUGGGUGUUUGAGAGGUGGAUGGAUGCAAUGGGUCAUGAUCCUCCUAGGUGCAUAAUGACUGAUCAAGAUCAAGCGAUGGCGACAGCUAUUGUUAUGGUGUUUCCAGGUAUAAUACACAGAUGUUGCAAGUGGCAUGUGCUGAAGAUUGCGAAGGAAAAACUUAGUAUGUUGUUUCGGACAUGA
rnacentral:rRNA from 1 species